GAUGAACGCUGGCGGCGUGCCUAAUACAUGCAAGUCGAGCGAACAGACGAGGAGCUUGCUCCUCUGACGUUAGCGGCGGACGGGUGAGUAACACGUGUAUAACCUACCUAUAAGACUGGGAUAACUUCGGGAAACCGGAGCUAAUACCGGAUAAUAUAUUGAACCGCAUGGUUCAAUAGUGAAAGACGGUUUUGCUGUCACUUAUAGAUGGAUCCGCGCCGCAUUAGCUAGUUGGUAAGGUAACGGCUUACCAAGGCAACGAUGCGUAGCCGACCUGAGAGGGUGAUCGGCCACACUGGAAGUGAGACACGGUCCAGACUCCUACGGGAGGCAGCAGUAGGGAAUCUUCCGCAAUGGGCGAGAGCCUGACGGAGCAACGCCGCGUGAGUGAUGAAGGUCUUCGGAUCGUAAAGCUCUGUUAUUAGGGAAGAACAAAUGUGUAAGUAACUAUGCACGUCUUGACGGUACCUAAUCAGAAAGCCACGGCUAACUACGUG
rnacentral:rRNA from 1 species